rnacentral:rRNA from 2 species
AAAUUGAAGAGUUUGAUCAUGGCUCAGAUUGAACGCUGGCGGCAGGCCUAACACAUGCAAGUCGAACGGUAACAGGAAGCAGCUUGCUGCUUCGCUGACGAGUGGCGGACGGGUGAGUAAUGUCUGGGAAACUGCCUGAUGGAGGGGGAUAACUACUGGAAACGGUAGCUAAUACCGCAUAAUGUCGCAAGACCAAAGAGGGGGACCUUCGGGCCUCUUGCCAUCGGAUGUGCCCAGAUGGGAUUAGCUAGUAGGUGGGGUAACGGCUCACCUAGGCGACGAUCCCUAGCUGGUCUGAGAGGAUGACCAGCCACACUGGAACUGAGACACGGUCCAGACUCCUACGGGAGGCAGCAGUGGGGAAUAUUGCACAAUGGGCGCAAGCCUGAUGCAGCCAUGCCGCGUGUAUGAAGAAGGCCUUCGGGUUGUAAAGUACUUUCAGCGGGGAGGAAGGCGAUAAGGUUAAUAACCUUGUCGAUUGACGUUACCCGCAGAAGAAGCACCGGCUAACUCCGUGCCAGCAGCCGCGGUAAUACGGAGGGUGCAAGCGUUAAUCGGAAUUACUGGGCGUAAAGCGCACGCAGGCGGUCUGUCAAGUCGGAUGUGAAAUCCCCGGGCUCAACCUGGGAACUGCAUUCGAAACUGGCAGGCUAGAGUCUUGUAGAGGGGGGUAGAAUUCCAGGUGUAGCGGUGAAAUGCGUAGAGAUCUGGAGGAAUACCGGUGGCGAAGGCGGCCCCCUGGACAAAGACUGACGCUCAGGUGCGAAAGCGUGGGGAGCAAACAGGAUUAGAUACCCUGGUAGUCCACGCCGUAAACGAUGUCGACUUGGAGGUUGUGCCCUUGAGGCGUGGCUUCCGGAGCUAACGCGUUAAGUCGACCGCCUGGGGAGUACGGCCGCAAGGUUAAAACUCAAAUGAAUUGACGGGGGCCCGCACAAGCGGUGGAGCAUGUGGUUUAAUUCGAUGCAACGCGAAGAACCUUACCUACUCUUGACAUCCAGAGAACUUUCCAGAGAUGGAUUGGUGCCUUCGGGAACUCUGAGACAGGUGCUGCAUGGCUGUCGUCAGCUCGUGUUGUGAAAUGUUGGGUUAAGUCCCGCAACGAGCGCAACCCUUAUCCUUUGUUGCCAGCGGUUAGGCCGGGAACUCAAAGGAGACUGCCAGUGAUAAACUGGAGGAAGGUGGGGAUGACGUCAAGUCAUCAUGGCCCUUACGAGUAGGGCUACACACGUGCUACAAUGGCGCAUACAAAGAGAAGCGACCUCGCGAGAGCAAGCGGACCUCAUAAAGUGCGUCGUAGUCCGGAUUGGAGUCUGCAACUCGACUCCAUGAAGUCGGAAUCGCUAGUAAUCGUGGAUCAGAAUGCCACGGUGAAUACGUUCCCGGGCCUUGUACACACCGCCCGUCACACCAUGGGAGUGGGUUGCAAAAGAAGUAGGUAGCUUAACCUUCGGGAGGGCGCUUACCACUUUGUGAUUCAUGACUGGGGUGAAGUCGUAACAAGGUAACCGUAGGGGAACCUGCGGUUGGAUCACCUCCUUACCUUAAAGAA